rnacentral:rRNA from 1 species
UGGGGAAUAUUGCACAAUGGGCGAAAGCCUGAUGCAGCGACGCCGCGUGAGGGAUGACGGCCUUCGGGUUGUAAACCUCUUUCAGUAGGGACGAAGCGCAAGUGACGGUACCUGCAGAAGAAGCACCGGCUAACUACGUGCCAGCAGCCGCGGUAAUACGUAGGGUGCGAGCGUUGUCCGGAAUUACUGGGCGUAAAGAGCUCGUAGGCGGUUUGUCACGUCGUCUGUGAAAUCCUAGGGCUUAACCCUGGACGUGCAGGCGAUACGGGCUGACAUGAGUACUACAGGGGAGACUGGAAUUUCUGGUGUAGCGGUGGAAUGCACAGAUAUCAGGAAGAACACCGAUGGCGAAGGCAGGUCUCUGGGUAGUAACUGACGCUGAGGAGCGAAAGCAUGGGUAGCGAACAGG